rnacentral:rRNA from 1 species
AAAACGACUCUCGGCAACGGAUAUCUYGGCUCAUGUAUCGAUGAAGAACGUAACAAAAUGCGAUACUUGGUGUGAAUUGCAGAAUCCCGUGAACCAUCGAAUUUUUGAACGCAAGUUGCGCCCGAAGCCUUUUGGCUAAGGGCACGUCUGCUUGGGCGUCACAU